UGGCCAGUAGUGCAGUGGUUAGCUCAGGUGUGUUAAUCCAGCAGGUUGUGGGUUCGAAUCCCCACUACCCCU
rnacentral:tRNA from 1 species